UUUAAGCAUCAUCCAUUAGUCAUAGCAGUUAUAUUACAGUGGAAACUGAAAAGUACUUUUUUUUAGUGUCAGGAUUAAUUAAUUAAUAAUUCAAGCAUGUGUUAGAAAACACUCAUUUUCUUAUAUCGCUAAUUAUACAAGACCCAAGAAUUAUUGCCUUCAUACAUUAUUUUAGCCAUCUACCUGCAGAGGGGAAAGCUGCUGUGUUUUCACUGCUUAGCAUGUGGGAAUUUAGUGAUCUUCUCUUCCAAUAUGUUAUGUCUGCAGAUUAGAAGAGACACAGGCUCAUUCCUGGCCAGGAAGCUGCUGGCUCCAUUCUCAUUAUGGCAGAUUGAUCAGUUUAUACUGAUUACAGGAAAUGGCUGUUAACUGGGUGAAUAAAUAACACAACUUGUGAGCAGGGUUUAUCUUAAAAUUUAUUAUUCCUUUCUUCAAAAAUGAUCAUGUAGAAAAUCAGAGGAGGGACCAUAGUGUUCCGUUUGAUGGCAGAAAGAUUUUCUUCAUUUCCAAUAAUGGCAGAUGUUCAUUUCCCAGUUUACACAGAGGGAAAAGUAAGCCUUUGUCUGUCCCUUUGAAGUUUCUCCCACAGACAUGUUAUAUCCCAGCUAAUAUUAACAGCCCUUAGUGCCAUCAAGUAACUAGUGUGUCAUUUUGAGAAGGAGUGAUAGGUGGGUAUUAAAACCACAGAAAAGCUGCACAUUACCUGGGCUGCAGAGGGACAGAAUGUAUCCUGCACAUGCUUGGGACACUCAGGACUUUACAAGAAGGCUGUUUUGAUUUGGGGAACACGUCCCACACCUUGGGAAUUUGCCGCUCACUUCACCAAGAGAUGGGGAAAGACUGGUGAGAAAUGGAAGUGCAAGUUCACACAUUGCAGUUUUCUAUCUUGAAAGCAACCUAUUCCACUGACCACACUCUCUCUGCUCAUUUGGGAAAGAAAGUUUAGUGGCCUGCACCGGACAAGAAUAUUUUAUUAUCUUUAUUUUCUUCUCACAUGUAAAAAUAAAUUAGGUAACUAAACUUUUUGCAUUCGAGCCAUUCUCACUUCUCUAUAUUUUAACAUUGUUGUGCUCCUUUACUCCAUUUCCAGUCUCAUUCAUAAGAAACCAGGGGUUUGAAUCAUAUUAGAAUUAUUUGCUUUGCCAAGAGCAUGAUUAAAGUCUGAAACAAAACGAAAUUUAAUUUUAGUAUCACUGUGUGUGUAGAGUAAAUAUGUUGUUUACAGUAAAGUUUUCACCUCCAUUUGCUUUUGGUGCUUAUUAUAACUUAAUAAGUUUUUUAUUCAGUUUGUAAAGUGCCCCUUUUUAGCCUCUAGCUGCUGGGUGACACCAUCUGUGAUUUCCAGUGAAAUUAAAUUAAGUGAAAAUUCAAUCAGCAAGAAGAUUGUUGCUUCCACAACUUCACUGAGUGGCUUGGGAUCAUAUAUAAGUGACAUGUCUUUCACACAGGAAGCACAACUGCUGUGUGAGCCAGUUUAACUUAAAGGAGGAGAUUUCCCAGAGAAUGGAGUAGCUAACAUGCUAUUUCCAGUGUAUCAUGCCCAGUUUAAUUAAUGAUUAAUUAUCAUUAAUGACCCUAGCUCAGCCCUUCUUGGCAACAGGCAUUCAGGGUGACCUCUCCAUUAUUCUUCAAUAAGAAGCCUGUCUCCAGGUCCAUCUUUAUUAUGUCCCCAUGCUCUGAGAGCACAGGAGUCAUUACCUGGGCAGUCCCCUGCAUGCAAGCAGGGACCUUCCAGCUGAGGUAGGUUGUGCACAGUAAUGUGCUGAGUAGAGGGUAGAAACAUUCUGCUUAGAGACUGGAGCAUGGACAACACGACACAUUUGUUAGUCUUAAUGUGCCUGAAAUGACUGGUAGGAUCCGAGGUGCAAGAACAAGGAAAUAAGGGAAUUACAAAAAACAAAAAAAAAAAAAAAGCUGGAGGAAUUAAGAAAAGAAAAAGAUCUUUUCACACUUGCCAUUCUCUCUUUUUUCUUUGUGCUGAGAUGCACUUCAUUAUUUUCUCCUUUCACAUAACCAUAUUAUAAUCUUUUCUUUUACCAGUUCAUAACAGGAAGCAUAAUGACUGAGUUCAACAAAAUACCAGUAAAAACAUCCCUUGGGAAACAGUUAAGUGGUCAAAGCUUGGAAAUGUGGUUUCUGCUACUGUAUUUGCACUGACAUUUUGCUCACCUCCCCACACACUUUUGUGAACAUAUCUAAAUAAAAGGUAAAAACUAAUUCCCCUUCCACUGUAGUUCCCUUUGGGGCAGAAAGAUGUGUAUUUUUCACAACAUAAUUUUUAGAGGAUUUUCCAAUAGGACUUUACACUAUCCACGGCCUAGAUGACUCAUAGUGUAGUUACCAAAGAAUAGAAGUAGUGAUUUCCACCACAGUGGUGAGCUAAUUUAAUAAUGGACACAAAUGAUAACUUACAGUACCAGAACAUCAGAGUAUAUGACAAUAAUCCCUGCACUUCCCAGCAAACACUUUGAAAAAGUGGAGAUCAAUGUCUAAUAGUAUCAGUUAUUAUUAGUAUCCUCCCGACACAUCCAGGAUUUUUUCAUCUUCUUUACUACAAAAAUGAGGUCACUUUGAGAAUAUAUUGGCAGAGAAACUUUACAAGAAAACUUGGAGGCUUAGAUGCUUGAGUUUUUAUACUAGAAUAACUUUCUAUCAUUUAACCAUGAAGUCUGCAGAAUCCCUUCCAAAGAACGUGCUGUCCUCAGCUCAGGGAAUGUGGACUACAGAAAGACUUAACUGAUGGCAAUGCAAUUCAUUUUUCAUUUUUUAUCAGUGUCUACAAAUUUAGUUUCCAGGUGGACCAUGUGGUCUCUUGCACAUCCCCUUGAACGUGAUAGUAAAGUGGGUAAACCAUUUGAUGAAGGUUAGCAGGGUCAAAAAGAAAAGAAAGAGCAAAGAAUAAGACAUCAAUGCAAAUCCUUUAUACCUGAAUGUUGUUUUAUAGUUCUACCCCGGUCACUUAGCCUAAGUUAGGAGUUUUCAGUGCAAUCUGUGGAAAAAGAGGUGUGUGUGUGUGUAAGCAAAACAAUAGGUGUCACCAGGUGUCACUAUUACGUGGGCUCUUUUCUUUCUGUGUGAGCAAACAGCCAGUUUGAGGGAGAUAAUACUGUGUUAUUAGUUCAUGCUUAAGCAUUUGGUAUAGAGCCAUCAAUGUAGGUAGAAAAGGCUCCACAAGUGCAGGAGAACUUGCUCUCUUCUCUGGGCUGGUGUCAUGAACAUCAUUUAUCACUGGGAACAGCGAGAGCCACUGGGCUGAGGUUCCUGCUAGGGAGAAUUGCCCCAAGUACUGUUGUAGCAUCUCUGUUCUGGAAUUAAUGUGAAUAUGUAUAAAUAAAACAAGAUGCAUUGUAAUGUCUCCUGGAAACACCUCACUGCAUCUUCUUCACUGACAAAUUGCCUGUAGAAGCCUGAUCAUCUGCUGCUAUCUAGCAGAAGAUAGAUGUGGUACUGAAACAAGGUGCACCACUCAUGUGUGUUUGCUUUACAGUGUUAGUGCAUUAUAUAUCAAACAGAGAAAAAAAGUGUAAAUAUUUGGAGAAGAAAUGGUAGAUGACUGUGGACUUGCUUUGACUAUAAAACUGAAGACAUGGACUUACCUGAACAAAGAACACAUUUAAAGCUGCAUCUGAAGCAGCAAUGUACCUUUCUCAGAGGAUACCAUCUGACUUCCCUCAGUGUCUUGCAUUUUAGAAAUCCUAAUUGAUGCGUGGGUAGUGCACUGAAUGACUCUCGGACUUGACCGAGGCUGUAGCUUUAUGACAAAUCCCACUCCCAUUCACAAGCAGCUUGCAAAGAGCCCACUUCUAUCUUGCCCAGGGUGGGAAAGGCACAGGCAAGCACAGAGGAGAGUUGGGAUGUCUGCUGAAGGAAACAAUAUUGCCCAGCAAUCCCAUGGGACAGGCAGUAGCCUAGGCUGGUAUUUGCAUACCACCAUGGAAGCAGCUGGUAUAGCUGCAAAUAUUUGAUCUGAAGUGAGGUCAGUUAGUUUUGAGGAAGCUUUACUUUCAGCCUGCCUGGUGGCCACAGGGUGAUAAGGAAACGCUCCUCUCUGGGCCCCAGGGACUGAGCUCUGCAGAGAAAGCACUGAAAUACACCAGGGUGGGAGACACAAGCAUGGCACAGAUCUGGUGAGUCUCUUCAGCAUUUUCUCAGACCAUCAUAUCAAGUCCAGCGCUCACACACACACCAGCAUCUGAGGAGACCCCUGCUGUCUUCUGAGGACACCCCGGUGAAUAACUUGCAAAACUGCUACAGCCAAGAGUUUCAAACAGCUGCUCAAGCCCUUCAGAAAAACAAAGCUCUGAAAUCAUUAACACUUGUGAUGUGCUCCCAUCUUGAAACAGAAAAUUAGUCCCCUUCAGCAGCUAACGACCCAGGGAAUACACAAAUUGCUGCCUGUGCCUCUGCCUCUGGUGCCUGUUGGGCUGAUGAAGAUCGUGUAAUUCUGGCUGUAAAUUCUUGCGUUUAAGUUGGUCCAAUAAAAGAUCUCUCCUACACCUCAUGAGGGUUUGGUGCUUUAUUUUUUUUUUUAACGGGACUGGCGUGGCAGCCGCGGUGGUUGCCUUUUUGGUUUUGGUGGUUUUUUUUUUUUCUUCUUCUUCUUUUUCUUCCUCUCGUUCUCAUCUGAAAUUAUGCAGAUAGAUGAUUAUUUUGAGUUUUUUCC